AUUGAACGCUGGCGGCAUGCUUUACACAUGCAAGUCGAACGGCAGCGGGGUAGUGCUUGCACUACUGUCCGGCGAGUGGCAAACGGGUGAGUAAUAUAUCGGAACGUACCGAGUAAUGGGGGAUAACCAAUCGAAAGAUUGGCUAAUACCGCAUACGUCCUACGGGAGAAAGCGGGGGAUCGCAAGACCUCGCGUUAUUCGAGCGGCCGAUAACUGAUUAGCUAGUUUGUGGGGUAAAGGCCUACCAAGGCGACUAUCAGUAGCGGGUCUGAGAGGACGAUCCGCCACACUGGGACUGAGACACGGCCCAGACUCCUGCUGGAGGCAGCAGUGGUGAAUUGUUGGACAAUGGGGGCAACCCUGAUCCUGCCUUUCCUUUGUAUGAUGAAGGCCUUGUGGUUUGAUAUUACUUUUUUUGGGAAUUAUGAGUAAUGCUAAUGCCAUUUUUGCUGACGUUACUGUGUGUGUGGGACCUGCGUGCACUUGCCACUGCUUGCGGAUGUCUAGGGUGCAGCUGUUGUCUGUGAUGCUGUGUGAUAGGAGUUGUGAGUUUUUGUAUGAUGUGUGUGUAGUCCUGUGCUCAUUCUUUGAUACAGUGUGAUUUGAAUUGUAGAUGUGCUGUGGGUUUGUGUUAUGUGAUGUGUAUGUUGUGGAUAGUAGGUAUAUGUGUAGUGUCGUGUGCCUUUCUGAUGUGUGUGUUGUGUGAUGUAGUGCGAGUACUGUUAGAAUAGUGUUGACCUGCCUGGCUGACUUCUGCUAGCGUUGUGUGUUGAUUUAGUAUGUUAGGUGGUAGUGGAAAACAGUAGAGGUGCUCAGUGGAUGUAGUUGUGUGCAUGUGUUAGC
rnacentral:rRNA from 1 species